GACGAACGCUGGCGGCGUGCUUAACACAUGCAAGUCGAACGGAAAGGCCCUGCUUUUGUGGGGUGCUCGAGUGGCGAACGGGUGAGUAACACGUGAGUAACCUGCCCUUGACUUUGGGAUAACUUCAGGAAACUGGGGCUAAUACCGGAUAGGAGCUCCUGCUGCAUGGUGGGGGUUGGAAAGUUUCGGCGGUUGGGGAUGGACUCGCGGCUUAUCAGCUUGUUGGUGGGGUAGUGGCUUACCAAGGCUUUGACGGGUAGCCGGCCUGAGAGGGUGACCGGCCACAUUGUGACUGAGAUACGGCCCAGACUCCUACGGGAGGCAGCAGUGGGGAAUAGUGCACAAUGGGCGGAAGCCUGAUGCAGCAACGCCGCGUGCGGGAUGACGGCCUUCGGGUUGUAAACCGCUUUCGCCUGUGACGAAGCGUGAGUGACGGUAAUGGGUAAAGAAGCACCGGCUAACUACGUG
rnacentral:rRNA from 1 species